rnacentral:rRNA from 1 species
UACGUAGGGCGCCAGCGUUGUUCGGAAUUACUGGGUGUAAAGGGUUCGUAGGCGGUGUAGCAAGUCGGGAGUGAAAUCUCUGGGCUUAACCCAGAGGCUGCUUCCGAAACUGCUGUGCUUGAGUGUGGGAGAGGCGCGUGGAAUUGCAGGUGUAGCGGUGAAAUGCGUAGAUAUCUGCAGGAACACCCGUGGCGAAAGCGGCGCGCUGGACCACUACUGACGCUGAGGAACGAAAGCUAGGGGAGCAAACAGG